UGCUGUUAAAUGCUCGCAGUUGCUGGCAAAGACCCUGAUGCUUUCAGGGCGGCGACCUGUCCGUUCCACUGGGCACUCUUGUCCCUCCUGUGGCCCAGGCUGGGUGCCCUCAUGGGUUCCCCAGCUUCGUGCUGCCCCAGGUCCGGACAGAGGACGUCUGGUGGUCCUCUGGAUGGGGAGCCAAUCUGUCCCUGUGGGCUCGAGCCGCUGUGCUUCAUUGGCAUGUCUCUCUAUUGGGUUCGGACAUAUGGUGGAAGCAAGACCCCCUGAGCAGAGUCCUCCUUGAGUGGUUGACCGUCUUGUUAUCGUCCAUCACACGGACAAAGGGGUUUCAAAGGAAGCUGUGCUGCUGCCUGCGCCAUCACCCCAGGACCCUGGUCCUGGGUGGGCCUGGGAAGCGGCCAUGCCUCUCCUCCCAUCCACCAGGGGGUGUCCACUGAUGCUGCCGUGAAGAAAACAGAGUGCUCAGAUCAACCAACCUGACUGGGAACGCCUUUGGAUGUGUCAGCAUGGAACAGCAGGGAAGCGACCGCCAAUGCAGGGGGAGGGUCAAACCUCUUCCUGCUUCAUUCUGUCAGGACGCAAAGGACGCCAUACCAGCCUUCAAGACCUUGGUCACCCAGCAAUGGACAAUGCAGCACCCACCCCUGGGCGGGGCAACCUUGGCUGGUGGGCAAACCGCUCUGGUCUUGUGCACAGAAGGCCGAGGCAACCUUGCAAAGUGAGGUGUGUGCUGACCGGGAGCGAUGGGGGCGACACCGAGACUGAGGGUAUUGCCAUGUCAGAGGUGAAAUUCUUGGACCAUGGCAGGACCUCCAGCGGCAAAGGCGCUCAGUCAGUGUGGCUCCGUCAAUCACAGAACGAAAGUGUGGGGAUCGAAGAUGAUCAGAUACCGUCGUAGUCCAUGCCCUGUAAACUAUGCCGGCUCGGUGUGGGACCUGCGAUCCGUCUAACCUCGGCAUGUCAGGGUCCACACCACAAUCCUUGUCCACCGAGAAAUCUGGAGCCUGUGGGUUCAGGGGGGAGUACUGCUGCAAGGCUGAAACUUAAAGGAAUUGACGGAAUGACACCACAAGGUGUGGAGUAUGCGGCUUAAUUUGACUCAACACGGGGAAACUUACCAGGUCAGAACAUGGCGAGGAUUGACAGAUUGCAAGCUCUUUCUUGAUUCUUUGGACGGUGGUGCAUGGCCGCUAUUGGUUGGUGAGGUGACUUGUCUGGUUGAUUCCGAUAACGAGCGAGAUCUCUGCCCUAUGAUACGUUGCUGUGUUGGACCUAUCUCGGGUGCCAGUGCCCCAUCUACUCUCUCCUGUCGCAGCUGCCGGCAGAGCCGCCUCCUGGUGGCCCUGUGGGUGGUUGUUGUGGGAGAGGGGGGGCACACCAGUCUGACUGGACACCCUAAACCGCUGAGUGUACUUCCUGGAGGACU
rnacentral:rRNA from 1 species